rnacentral:rRNA from 1 species
AGUGAACGCUGGCGGUAGGCCUAACACAUGCAAGUCGAACGGCAGCACAGUAAGAGCUUGCUCUUACGGGUGGCGAGUGGCGGACGGGUGAGGAAUACAUCGGAAUCUACUUUUUCGUGGGGGAUAACGUAGGGAAACUUACGCUAAUACCGCAUACGACCUACGGGUGAAAGCAGGGGAUCUUCGGACCUUGCGCGAUUGAAUGAGCCGAUGUCGGAUUAGCUAGUUGGCGGGGUAAAGGCCCACCAAGGCGACGAUCCGUAGCUGGUCUGAGAGGAUGAUCAGCCACACUGGAACUGAGACACGGUCCAGACUCCUACGGGAGGCAGCAGUGGUGAAUAUUGGACAAUGGGCGCAAGCCUGAUCCAGCCAUACCGCGUGGGUGAAGAAGGCCUUCGGGUUGUAAAGCCCUUUUGUUGGGAAAGAAAAGCAGCAGGUUAAUACCCCGCUGUUCUGACGGUACCCAAAGAAUAAGCACCGGCUAACUUCGU